rnacentral:rRNA from 1 species
AGCGAACGCUGGCGGCAGGCUUAACACAUGCAAGUCGAACGCAUCCUUCGGGGUGAGUGGCAGACGGGUGAGUAACACGUGGGAACGUACCUCUUUGUACGGAAUAGCUUUUGGAAACGAAAGGUAAUACCGUAUACGCCCUUUUGGGGGAAAGAUUUAUCGCAGAGAGAUCGGCCCGCGUCUGAUUAGCUAGUUGGUGAGGUAAUGGCUCACCAAGGCGACGAUCAGUAGCUGGUCUGAGAGGAUGAUCAGCCACACUGGGACUGAGACACGGCCCAGACUCCUACGGGAGGCAGCAGUGGGGAAUAUUGGACAAUGGGGGCAACCCUGAUCCAGCCAUGCCGAGUGAGUGAUGAAGGCCUUAGGGUUGUAAAGCUCUUUUGUUCGGGAAGAUAAUGACUGUACCGGAAGAAUAAGCCCCGGCUAACUUCGUGCCAGCAGCCGCCGUAA